AACCUCUUGCAUGAUUUUUUCUUAUGCACAAAACAUUUAUCCCCAAAUCCUUCUACACUAUUUUCUCUCGCCCAAGGAAGAACAGGUACAUCGUUUCAUUCUUCUUCUUUAUCUCUUUGCCUCUCUUGCCUUUUCCCUUCUUCUUCUUCCUCCUCUCUUAGAUUCAUCAACAUUUCCAAUCCAUUCUUCUCCCCAAGCCCUUGUUUCCCACUUUUUGUUUCUUCUAGACACGUCAUCUCCGUUUGUCAUCUUCAGUCGUCUCGUGCUUCUCCUCGCUCCCUCCUCCAUCUGUUUGGAGGAAGCCGUUAGAAAAUUGGAGGCAUAUAGACAAAAAUUUCCAAGCUUGGAAAGCGAAUCAAAAUUACCAUUUUGUGUAUAUUGCUCCUGAGGUGUUGCUUAAGAAAGAGUAUGAUGGCAAGGUAAAUGUUAUAAUAUAAUUAUAUAUAUACAUGUGUAUCAAUAUGCCCAUUCUAUCUUGUGAUGUGUUUUAAGGUUGAGAUUAUUUCUCUUUUUUGUAUCUGACAGUGCAUUUCAGAUUGCAGAUGUGUAGUCGUGUGGGGUGACCUUAUAUGUUCUUUGGUUUGUUAUUCAUUUAUUAUAAUUAAUAGCAAAGUUAGAUAUUGUAAUUGGUUGCAUAUGUUUCCUCUGUGCUCCUAAAAAAUGGUUGUUUUGGUCUUCAUGUUGACAACAAGAUAUUGCUUUACAAUAGGCGCUAACUCAACAACGCCUUUGUCCAUUCCCUAAGGAAAUCAAGGCCAAGGGAGAUUUCAUGGCUAUGGAAGGAAGCUUUGAGAAAAAGAGAAUAGAAAAUGAAUGGCACUUUAAGGAUGACCUUCAUCACACAUUCGCUUUCUUGAACAGAUCCUUUCGAUGCUUCGAAAAGGUUGAACUCAACCAAACGUGCCAUUUGUUUGCAGAUAUAUCGUGCCUGAGACAGAAGAUUAUUGAUAUGAAGUUGAUGUUAUACCCAAGAAGAUCAAAUUAGAAAAUCUUACAAUUGUUCAAAGAAGAAGCUUAAUUAUUGAAGAUUGAUUUCACAAAGAUGAAGAAGAAGAAGAUUAAGAUGGAGGGAAGAAGAGGAUGAAGAUUUAGAAGAACACAAGAAUUUUAUAGUGGUUAAGCAAAAAUGCCUACAUCUACUUAGAAUGAGAUAGUUGAAGAAUCCAUGGACCAUGGUAUCAAUCAAGUUCUCAUUUAUGUGUCAAUUUGAUUAGAUUAGAUCACACAUACAUGUAAUAUUACAAUAAACUUAUCUUUUGGAUUAUUGUAAAAUCUUUACCGAUAAUGUAAGUUAUAUUUUUUAUUAUCAAUAUAAAUAUCUUUCCAAACA